AUUGAACGCUGGCGGCAUGCCUUACACAUGCAAGUCGAACGGCAGCACGGGAGCAAUCCUGGUGGCGAGUGGCGAACGGGUGAGUAAAGUAUCGGAACGUGCCCAGUCGUGGGGGAUAACGUAGCGAAAGUUACGCUAAUACCGCAUACGAUCUAUGGAUGAAAGCGGGGGAUCGCAAGACCUCGCGCGAUUGGAGCGGCCGAUAUCAGAUGAGGUAGUUGGUGGGGUAAAGGCUCACCAAGCCGACGAUCUGUAGCUGGUCUGAGAGGACGACCAGCCACACUGGGACUGAGACACGGCCCAGACUCCUACGGGAGGCAGCAGUGGGGAAUUUUGGACAAUGGGCGAAAGCCUGAUCCAGCCAUGCCGCGUGCAGGAUGAAGGCCUUCGGGUUGUAAACUGCUUUUGUACGGAACGAAAAGGUUUGGGCUGAUAAGCUGAGCUCAUGACGGUACCAUAAGAAUAAGCACCGGCUAACUACGUGCCAGCAGCCGCCGUAA
rnacentral:rRNA from 1 species